rnacentral:rRNA from 1 species
GAUGAACGCUAGCGGCAGGCUUAAUACAUGCAAGUCGAGGGGCAACAGGGGUAGCAAUACCUGCUGGCGACCGGCAAACGGGUGCGGAACACGUACAGAACCUUCCUUUAAGUUGGAGAUAGCCCGGAGAAAUCCGGAUUAAUACCUAAUAGUAUUAUGGUGUGGCAUCACAUUAUAAUUAAAGCCUUGGCGCUUAGAGAUGGCUGUGCGUAUGAUUAGGUAGUUGGNGCGGUAACGCCACAAGCCUUCGAUCAUUAACUGGUGUGAGAGCACGA